rnacentral:lncRNA from 1 species
UAGAUUUUUGUUCGAGGAGUUUCACUGAAUUGAAGCACAACUAAUGAAGACACCAGUUUUGGGUUCUACUGAGGCUGAGGCUUACUGUGAUGUGUCAGAUACUGGAUUGGAUUUAAAUUAAGGUAUGAGGAUUAAGUCAUUCAUAUGCAUCACGCCAGAGAGGCUGUAGUGGUAUUUGCGUUAUAGUUUUGGAGAUCGUAAUUGUACGGGAAGGAAGUUCAGACUCUCUGGGAUUAUUAGAAUGUGAAAUUUAUCUUCAUUUAUUAAAAACUUGUACUUGGACAGUGCAGUUGGAUUGAGUUUGUAGCAGGCUAUAGUCUGGAUAUCGCAUACUAUCUGGUAAGGACAACCAGGUGAUAAAUGCCUUGGGUAGGCGUAUGAGCUGUAUCUCAGGAACCAAGAAGGUUCAUGAGUUGGAGAUUUGCUAGUCUCAGGUUGGGUGCCAUUACUAUCAAUGGAGAGACAGAUGUCCUUGGGACUUUGGAGCAGGCAGUUUUGCUAUGGAGGAUACACAAGCACAAGUUAGCAUUCUGGAUUGGUUGAACAGAUCGAGAUUGGGAGUAUUGGAUAUCAUACAGCUUUGAGCAGGAUAUACUUGUACUGAAACCGAGUUUGUGUGUUGGACGAUAAGUUGUUAAGAAAAGGAAUCUUACAACAAACAUAUCACUCGUGUUUCUCUACCCAUCGGGAAGACCAAAGGGUACAAAGAUAUGAAGAGUUAACUAUAAUUGGUGUAGUAUGAAGAUGUUUGUAACUACAUUACGUCGCGGUGCCAGACAUGUUAUAUGGCAAUAACAGAGGAUCAGUCAUCUAUCAUGUUAUUUUUGAGCUUGCUUUUGCCGGAGUAGAAAUGAGGCAUGGUGAUUAUGGACAUUGUUAUUGGAUUUUAAAUCACCAUAUGUGGAAAGAAUGCCACAUGGGUAGUCAUGGAUAGACUUACCAAGUCAGCCCAUUUCCUAAGUAAUUAAGAAGAUAAUCAGGGCUAAUCAAUUGAAGCAGACCUACAUUAUUGAGUUCAGGAAGUUUCAUGGAUGUCAACAUUGUAUCGGAUUGGGAAUCGAAGUUCACAUCUACAUUUCAAAAAGCCUUUCGGAAGGCACUUGGUACAAAGAUCAUAUGGGUACAUCUUAUCACCCGUUGACAUAUUGUCAGUCAGAGAGGACUACUCAGAACUUAAAGGAUAUGUUCAGAGAUUGCGUGGGAUGGAAUUUCGGAAAGCAUCUACCUAUACCAGAGUUUGCCUACAUCGACAGCUAUCUUUUGAGUAUUAAAAAAAUUAUUAUAUGAGGGUUAUUUAUGGUAGACCUUAUAGUAUACCACUUUGUUGGACCAAAGUGGGGGAGC